rnacentral:rRNA from 1 species
GACGGACCCGCACAAGCGUGGAUCAUGUUGUUUAAUUCGAUGAUACGCGAAGAACCUUACCAGGUCUUGACAUCCCCCGCGAUGCUUUAGAGAUAAAGCGGAGGUAUUCGGGGAGACAGGUGGUGCAUGGUUGUCGUCAGCUCGUGUCGUGAGAUGUUGGGUUAAGUCCCGCAACGAGCGCAACCCCUAUUGCUAGUUACCAUCAUUAAGUUGGGGACUCUAGCGAGACUGCCAGUGAUAAACUGGAGGAAGGUGGGGAUGACGUCAAAUCAUCAUGCCCCUUAUGACCUGGGCUACAAACGUGAUACAAUGGCUGGAACAAAGGGAUGCGAAGCAGUGAUGUGGAGCGAAACCCAUAAAAACAGUCUCAGUUCGGAUUGCAGGCUGAAACUCGCCUACAUGAAGUUGGAGUUGCUAGUAAUCGCGAAUCAGAAUGUCGCGGUGAAUGCGUUCCCGGGUCUU